UUGGAGAUAGAUGGUCCUGGAAAUCUAUAUAUGGAUCACCAAUCUUCCCCAAAUGAGAGACCCAUCAAAGCAGCAGAUCAUGAAAACAAUUCCAAGGAGUCAAUGAUGGGAAAUUUAGGGGAUGCAACUGUUCGAGCUGCUGACCUAAUUGGUUCAAUGGCCAAAAACAUGGAUGCCCAACAGGCAGCAAGAGCUGCAGAUACCCCUAAUUUCUCUUCUGAAGUGCCAGAAGGGAAAGGUAAGAAUGGUAUGUCAUGCUCAACUGAUGCACUAUGCAAUUUUACAAAAUAAUUAAACUUGCUGGCCAUUUUAUCUAUUAAGUUUGAUGGUUGAUUUCAGAUGACUUUAAGGGAAAGGACUUGGAGAUAGGUGGCCCUAGAAAUUUAUAUAUGGAUCACCAAUCUUCCCCAAAUGAGAGACCCAUCAAAGCAGCAGAUCAUGAAAACAACUCCAAGGAGUCAAUGAUAGAAAAUUUAGAGGAGCCAACUGUUCGAGCUGCUGACCUAAUUGGUUCAAUGGCCAAAAACAUGGAUACCCAACAGGCAGCAAGAGCUGCAGAAGAUACCCCUAAUUUCUCUUCCAAAGUGCCAGAAGGGAAAGGUAAGAAUGACCAGC
rnacentral:lncRNA from 1 species